GACGAACGCUGGCGGCGUGCUUAAUACAUGCAAGUCGAACGAGGCUCAUCCGGUCGAAAGACCGGAGAAGGCUUAGUGGCGAACGGGUGAGUAACACGUGAGCAACCUGCCCCGAAGACCGGGAUAACAGUGGGAAACCGCUGCUAAUACCGGAUAUCCCCACCGAGCCUCCUGGCUUGGUGAGGAAAUGGAUUCCGCUUCGGGAGGGGCUCGCGGCCUAUCAGCUUGUUGGUGGGGUAACGGCCUACCAAGGCGUCGACGGGUAGCUGGUCUGAGA
rnacentral:rRNA from 1 species